rnacentral:rRNA from 1 species
GACGAACGCUGGCGGCGUGCCUAAUACAUGCAAGUAGAACGCUGAAGGAGGAGCUUGCUUCUCCGGAUGAGUUGCGAACGGGUGAGUAACGCGUAGGUAACCUGCCUGGUAGCGGGGGAUAACUAUUGGAAACGAUAGCUAAUACCGCAUAAGAGUAGAUGUCGCAUGACAUUUGCUUAAAAGGUGCAACUGCACCACUACCAGAUGGACCUGCGUUGUAUUAGCUAGUUGGUGAGGUAACGGCUCACCAAGGCAACGAUGCAUAGCCGACCUGAGAGGGUGAUCGGCCACACUGGGACUGAGACACGGCCCAGACGCCUACGGGAGGCAGCAGUAGGGAAUCUUCGGCAAUGGACGGAAGUCUGACCGAGCAACGCCGCGUGAGUGAAGAAGGUUUUCGGAUCGUAAAGCUCUGUUGUAAGAGAAGAACGAGUGUGAGAGUGGAAAGUUCACACUGUGACGGUAUCUUACCAGAAAGGGACGGCUAACUACGUG